GGAAGGAGUCCGACCGGACGAGGAGCGCGAGUGCUAAUCGCGUGCGUCAUCGCUGACGUUGGGGGUUCGAGUCCCCCUCCUUCCG
rnacentral:tRNA from 1 species